GAUGGACGCUAGCGGCAGGCCUAACACAUGCAAGUCGAGGGAGAGGUUACCUUCGGGUAACCAAAACCGGCGCACGGGUGCGUAACGCGUAUACAAUCUGCCUUUCACAUAGGGAUAGCCCGAAGAAAUUUGGAUUAAUACCUAAUGGUAUAUAAGAGCGGCAUCGUUUUUAUAUUAAAGCUACGGUGGUGAAAGAUGAGUAUGCGUUCUAUUAGCUAGUUGGAGAGGUAACGGCUCCCCAAGGCGACGAUAGAUAGGGGUUCUGAGAGGGAUGUCCCCCACACUGGUACUGAGAUACGGACCAGACUCCUACGGGAGGCAGCAGUGAGGAAUAUUGGACAAUGGUCGGAAGACUGAUCCAGCCAUGCCGCGUGCAGGAUGAAGGUCCUAUGGAUUGUAAACUGCUUUUGUAAGGGAAGAAUAAGGAGUACGUGUACUUUGAUGACGGUACCUUACGAAUAAGCAUCGGCUAACUCCGUGCCAGCAGCCGCGGUAAUACGGAGGAUGCGAGCGUUAUCCGGAAUCAUUGGGUUUAAAGGGUCCGUAGGCGGGCUGAUAAGUCAGAGGUGAAAGCGCUUAGUUCAACUAAGCAACUGCCUUUGAAACUGUCAGUCUUGAAUGAUUGUGAAGUAGUUGGAAUGUGUAGUGUAGCGGUGAAAUGCUUAGAUAUUACACAGAACACCGAUAGCGAAGGCAUAUUACUAACAAUUUAUUGACGCUGAUGGACGAAAGCGUGGGGAGCGAACAGG
rnacentral:rRNA from 1 species